rnacentral:tRNA from 1 species
GGAGUAGCCUAGUGGUUAAGGCUUUGGAUCGCCAAUCCGGAGACGGCGGGUUCGAUUCCCGUUCCA